GCGAAAGUGGCGGAAUUGGUAGACGCGCAAGAUUCAGGAUCUUGUGGCCGCAUAGGUCGUGGGGGUUCGAGUCCCCCCUUUCGCACCA
rnacentral:tRNA from 1 species